AGCGAACGCUGGCGGCAGGCCUAACACAUGCAAGUCGAACGAAGUCUUCGGACUUAGUGGCGGACGGGUGAGUAACACGUGGGAACGUACCUUUUGGUUCGGAACAACUCAGGGAAACUUGAGCUAAUACCGGAUGAGCCCUUAGGGGGAAAGAUUUAUCGCCGAAAGAGCGGCCCGCGUUAGAUUAGCUAGCUGGUGAGGUAAAGGCUCACCAAGGCUACGAUCUAUAGCUGGUCUGAGAGGAUGAUCAGCCACACUGGGACUGAGACACGGGCCAGACUCCUACGGGAGGCAGCAGUGGGGAAUGUUGCGCAAUGGGAGAAAGCCUGACGCAGCCAUGCCGCGUGAAUGAUGCAGGUCUUAGGAUUGUAAAAUUCUUUUACCAGGGACGAUAAUGACGGUACCUGGAGAAAAAGCCCCGGCUAACUUCGUGCCAGCAGCCGCCGUAAUAC
rnacentral:rRNA from 1 species